UACGUAGGUGGCAAGCGUUAUCCGGAUUUACUGGGUGUAAAGGGCGUGUAGGCGGGAGUGCAAGUCAGAUGUGAAAACUAUGGGCUCAACCCAUAGCCUGCAUUUGAAACUGUACUUCUUGAGUGAUGGAGAGGCAGGCGGAAUUCCCUGUGUAGCGGUGAAAUGCGUAGAUAUAGGGAGGAACACCAGUGGCGAAGGCGGCCUGCUGGACAUUAACUGACGCUGAGGCGCGAAAGCGUGGGGAGCAAACAGG
rnacentral:rRNA from 1 species